rnacentral:rRNA from 1 species
AUUGAACGCUGGCGGCAGGCCUAACACAUGCAAGUCGAACGAGUGGCGGACGGGUGAGUAAUGUCUGGGAAACUGCCUGAUGGAGGGGGAUAACUACUGGAAACGGUAGCUAAUACCGCAUACCAUCGGAUGUGCCCAGAUGGGAUUAGCUAGUCGGUGGGGUAACGGCUCACCUAGGCGACGAUCCCUAGCUUGUCUGAGAGGAUGACCUGCCGCACUUGAACUGAUACACGGUCCAGCCUCCUACGGGAGGCAGCAGUGUGGAAUAUGGCACAAUGGGCGAAAGCCUGACGCAGCCAUGCCGCGUGUAUGACGACGGCCUUCGGGUUGUAAAGUACUUUCAGCGGGGAGGCGUUACCCGCAGAAGAAGCACCGGCUAACUCCGUGCCAGCAGCCGCGGUAAUUC